AUGUAUACUUUGUACUUGUCAGAUUAUACUUGUAAAUGUACUUGACUUUGUAUCUGUGCUGUACUCUUGUGAACGUACUUGACUGUUCCACACGGGUCGGUGUGUAUUCAUGUGACUCCCGUUCUAUGGACCAGACCUGAAGACGGUGGAUCCUGUACCUGAGGUGAGCAGAACUGAGGUUCAUGUGACCGUGGAGGACAUGGCUUGGAUCCAGCAGACCUGAGACUACGACCCUGGAGAAGCUCCAUCCUGGUCUGGUUCAGUCGGACUGUGGUCGUCCUCCCUGUCCUCCCUGAGGUUCUGGACCCAAGGACCCAGCCCCCCCCCCCCCCCCCC